rnacentral:rRNA from 1 species
AUUGAACGCUGGCGGCAGGCCUAACACAUGCAAGUCGGACGAGUGGCGGACGGGUGAGUAAUGUAUGGGAAACUGCCUGAUGGAGGGGGAUAACUACUGGAAACGGUAGCUAAUACCGCAUACCAUCGGAUGUACACAGAUGGGAUUAGCUAGUAGGUGGGGUAAAGGCUCACCUAGGCGACGAUCCCUAGCUGGUCUGAGAGGAUGACAAGCCACACUGGAACUGAGACACGGUCCAGACUCCUACGGGAGGCAGCAGUGGGGAAUAUUGCACAAUGGGCGCAAGCCUGAUGCAGCCAUGCCGCGUGUAUGAAGAAGGCCUUCGGGUUGUAAAGUACUUUCAGCGGGGAGGCGUUACUGGCAGAAGAAGCACCGGCUAACUCCGUGCCAGCAGCCGCGGUAAUUC